AUUGAACGCUGGCGGCAUGCUUUACACAUGCAAGUCGAACGGCAGCGCGGGCUUCGUCCUGGCGGCGCGUGGCGAACGGGCGAGUAAUGCAUCGGAACGUGCCCAGCAGUGGGGGAUAGCCCGGCGACAGCCGGCUUAAUACCGCAUACGACCUGAUGGUGAAAGCGGGGGACCGAAAGGCCUCGCGCUAUUUGAGCGGCCGAUGUCGGAUUAGCUAGUUGGUGAGGUAAAGGCUUACCAAGGCGACGAACCGUAGCUGAUCUGCGAGGACGACCGGCCACACUGGAACUGAGACACGGUCCAGACUCCUACGGGAGGCAGCAGUAGGGAAUAUUGCGCAAUGGGCGAAAGCCUGACGGAGCAACGCCGCGUGAGUGAUGAAGGUCUUCGGAUUGUAAAACGCUGUUAUUAGGGAAGAAAAAAUGUGUAAGUAAAUAUGCACGUCUUGACGGUACCGAAUCAGAAAGCAACGGCUAACUACGUG
rnacentral:rRNA from 1 species